AUCCGGGCACGGGAAUCCGCCUCACACGCGGACGAUCACUGGUUCGAUCCCGGUCGGGACCACCA
rnacentral:tRNA from 1 species